CCUCUUAGUUCCACAACAACCAGUCCCUCUUAGUUCCACAACAACCAGUCCCUCUUAGUUCCACAACAACAAGUCCCUCUUAGUUCCACAACAACCAGUCCCUCUUAGUUCCACAACAACCAGUCCCUCUUAGUUCCACAACAACCAGUCCCUCUUAGUUCCACAACAACCAGUCCCUCUUAGUUCCACAACAACCAGUCCCUCUUAGUUCCACAACAACCAGUCCCACUUAGUUCCACAACAACCAGUCCCUCUUAGUUCCACAACAACCAGUCCCUCUUAGUUCCACAACAACCAGUCCCUCUUCACUCCACAACAACCAGUCCCUCUUAGUUCCACAGCAACCAGUCCCUCUUAGUUCCACAACAACCAGUCCCUCUUAGUUUCACAGCAACCAGUCCCUGUUAGCUAAGACAGUACGUUCCCAAUAAAAACAUAAUUCCACCUUGACAUUAUGGGGUAGAUCAGUGACAAAACAAUCUUCCUUUCAAUCCAUUUCAAAUUCAGGCUGUAAACACAACAAACAUUAGGAUAAAGUCAACGGGUGUGAAGGCUCAAAGUAAACAAAACAUUAUGAACACCUGCUCUUUCCAUGACAGACUGACCAGGUGAAUCCAGGUGAAAGCUGUCAUCCCUUAUUGAUGUCACCUGUUAAAUCCACUUCAAUCAGUGUAGAUGAAUGGGAGGAGACGGGAUAAAGGAAGGAUUUUUAAGCCUUGAGACAUGGAUUGUGUCUGUGUGUCAUUCAGAGGGUGAAUGGGCAAGACAAAAUAUUUAAGUGCCUUUGAACGGGGUAUGGUAGUAGGAGGUGCCUUUGAACAGGGUAUGGUAGUAGGUGCCUUUGAACAGGGUAUGGUAGUAGGUGCCUUUGAACAGGGUGUGGUAGUAGGUGCCUUUGAAUGGGGGUAUGGUAGUAGGUGCCUUUGAACAGGGUGUGGUAGUAGGUGCCAGGCACACUGGUUGUGUCAAGAACUGCAACGCUGCUGAGUUUUUCACACUCAACAGUUUCCCGUGUGUAUCAAGAAUUGUCAACCACCUAGAGAAGUUCCAGCCAACUUGACGCAAUUGUGGAAAGCAUUGGAGUCAACAUGGGCCAGCAUCCCUGUGGAACGCUUUCAACACCUUGUAGAGGGGGGUGGAGCAACUCAAUAUUAGGAAGCUGUUCUUAAUGUUUUGUUCACUCAAUGUAGAUUGUACAGUAUAGUACAUUCCCUGAACAAAAGCAGGAUCUAGAUUAUACAGCUCUAUCUGAACAGAUGCUGGCAAACCUAAAGAGUCAUUCCAUUUGAUUCUUGAUGACAGUCCAUGAUGCUGCUAAACCUAAAGAGUCAUUCCAUUUGAUUCUUGAUGACAGUCCAUGAUGCUGCUAAACCUAAAGAGUCAUUCCAUUUGAUUCUUGAUGACAGUCCAUGAUGCUGCUAAACCUAAAGAGUCACUCCAUUUGAUUCUCGAUGACAGUCCCUGAUGCUGCUAAACCUAAAGAGUCACUCCAUUUGAUUCUUGAUGACAGUCCCUGAUGCUGCUAAACCUAAAGAGUCACUCCAUUUG
ensembl:lncRNA